CGUAGUUGCGAUGAGGAUAACGAGCUCCCUCUUCUGAAAGCAUUGACGACACCGCUGGCAGAAUCGAACCAAUUAAAUAUUGCCACCACUGAUUAA
rfam:Triticum aestivum genome assembly, contig: Triticum_aestivum_CS42_TGACv1_scaffold_578614_7BL